GACGAACGCUGGCGGCGUGCUUAACACAUGCAAGUCGAACGGAAAGGCCCUGCUUGCAGGGUACUCGAGUGGCGAACGGGUGAGUAACACGUGGGUGAUCUGCCCUGCACUUCGGGAUAAGCCUGGGAAACUGGGUCUAAUACCGGAUAGGAGCCAUUUUUAGUGUGAUGGUUGGAAAGUUUUUUCGGUGUAGGAUGAGCUCGCGGCCUAUCAGCUUGUUGGUGGGGUAAUGGCCUACCAAGGCGGCGACGGGUAGCCGGCCUGAGAGGGUGGACGGCCACAUUGCGACUGAGAUACGGCCCAGACUCCUACGGGAGGCAGCAGUGGGGAAUAUUGCACAAUGGGCGCAAGCCUGAUGCAGCGACGCCGCGUGGGGGAUGACGGCCUUCGGGUUGUAAACUCCUUUCGCUAGGGACGAAGCUUUUUGUGACGGUACCUAGAUAAGAAGCACCGGCUAACUACGUG
rnacentral:rRNA from 1 species